ensembl:snRNA
GUGUCAUAGGAAAGAAGAUAAAGCUAACCUCUCAACAAGGAUGGAAAAGGCCUUUGUAGCCCAUAUAGCACAUAUACAGUAAGGCAUUGCUAUCUACUCAUUGUUUCU